UACGUAGGGGGGCAAGCGUUGUCCGGAUUUAUUGGGCGUAAAGAGCGUGUAGGCGGCCAUGUAGGUCCGUUGUGAAAACUCGAGGCUCAACCUCGAGACGCCGAUGGAAACCAUGUGGCUAGAGUCCGGAAGAGGAGAGUGGAAUUCCUGGUGUAGCGGUGAAAUGCGCAGAUAUCAGGAAGAACACCCGUGGCGAAGGCGGCUCUCUGGGACGGUACUGACGCUGAGACGCGAAAGCGUGGGGAGCAAACAGG
rnacentral:rRNA from 1 species